GAGAGAGACUGGAACACUACGAAUUGCUAAUUCUGUAGUACCAUGGUUCAACCCCAUGGCUCACUCG
rnacentral:tRNA from 1 species